rnacentral:rRNA from 1 species
UACAGAGGGUGCAAGCGUUAAUCGGAAUUACUGGGCGUAAAGCGCUCGUAGGCGGUUUUUUAAGUCAGAUGUGAAAGCCCCGGGCUCAACCUGGGAAUUGCAUUUGAAACUGGGGAACUAGAGUGUGUGAGAGGGGGGUAGAAUUCCAAGUGUAGCGGUGAAAUGCGUAGAGAUUUGGAGGAAUACCAGUGGCGAAGGCGGCCCCCUGGCACAACACUGACGCUCAGGUGCGAAAGCGUGGGGAGCAAACAGG